UUUAAUAAAACAUUAAAAUGUAUAUAGUUUCGGCCUAUAAAAUGGCAAAAUUGCCUAUUAAUU
rnacentral:tRNA from 1 species